GAAUAUGGGGGGACCAUCCUCCAAGGCUAAAUACUCCUGACUGACCGAUAGUGAACCAGUACCGUGAGGGAAAGGCGAAAAGAACCCCGGCGAGGGGAGUGAAAAAGAACCUGAAACCGUGUACGUACAAGCAGUGGGAGCACCUUCGGGUGUGACUGCGUACCUUUUGUAUAAUGGGUCAGCGACUUAUAUUCUGUAGCAAGGUUAACCGUAUAGGGGAGCCGCAGGGAAACCGAGUCUUAACUGGGCGUUAAGUUGCAGGGUAUAGACCCGAAACCCGGUGAUCUAGCCAUGGGCAGGUUGAAGGUUGGGUAACACUAACUGGAGGACCGAACCGACUAAUGUUGAAAAAUUAGCGGAUGACUUGUGGCUGGGGGUGAAAGGCCAAUCAAACCGGGAGAUAGCUGGUUCUCCCCGAAAGCU
rnacentral:rRNA from 1 species